rnacentral:rRNA from 1 species
GACGAACGCUGGCGGCGCGCCUAACACAUGCAAGUCGAACGAAGAGUAUUGAAUGAAGCCUUCGGGUGGAAUUUGAUAUUUCUUAGUGGCGAACGGGUGAGUAACACGUGAGUAACCUGCCUUUCAGAGGGGGACAACAUUUGGAAACGAAUGCUAAUACCGCAUAAGACCACAGUACCACAUGGUAGAGUGGCCAAAGGAUUUUAUCCGCUGAAAGAUGGACUCGCGUCCGAUUAGCUAGAUGGUGAGGUAACGGCCCACCAUGGCGACGAUCGGUAGCCGGACUGAGAGGUUGAUCGGCCACAUUGGGACUGAGACACGGCCCAGACUCCUACGGGAGGCAGCAGUGGGGAAUAUUGCACAAUGGAGGGAACUCUGAUACAGCAACGCCGCGUGAAGGAAGACGGUUUUCGGAUUGUAAACUUCUAUCAGUAGGGAAGAAAG